rnacentral:lncRNA from 1 species
ACAAGGAUGAGCUUCAAGGGUAAAGAAACUCUAAAUCUUUACUUCUCUUUAAUAUUGUUAAAGAGUUUAUUGGUUCACCAUAUACUAGGCUUUGAAAGUCAUGGGUUUUAUGAAUUGUUUUUUAAUGCAUGCCUACUUUAAAGUGUUAAUAGUUUGCAUAUGUAUUCAAAUGUUCUUACAUGUUCUUAGCUAGGACAAAAUUUUUCCUUCAAGUGAAUGGUGAACCAAGAGACUCUUUAACUACAUUAAAGAGAAGGAAGGAUUUAGAGAUUCAUUACCCUUGAAGCUCAUCCUUGUUUACACAAGGGAUUCACCCAAGUGGAGGGCCUUCAAGUCACCUCCUAGCUCCUUGGAUCUUCCUUGUGAUUUCCUUCCCUUUUUGUGCUCCUUUGCUCCUUGAGGAUGUGAGGAAAGGAUCUCCAAAACACCAAAGGUUUAGUGUCUCUAAGUCUCCACACCAAGGAUGAGGUGUGAAGAUGAAAUGGAUGACUUAGAGAAGAAAAGAUUGCUAGCUAAAUCCUCUCUAAGUGGCCGGCCUCCUUGUUGAGAAAAAGAGAGAAAGUGUUUCACCUCUUUGCCUCAAGAAAACCCUAAUGAGAAAAUAGCUAUAAAGUUAACUUUAUACUACAUCACAUUUGAGUGGCAAACUUGUAAUUAAUUUAAGUUUGCAUCCACUCUCCCUUAUGGCCGGCCUUGUCUUUGUUAUUGGGCUAAUUGCCCAUUUUGUUUUAGUUGUCAUACAACUUAAACAUAAUGGGCUUUGUGGACCAAAACACUUUUGGGCCCCGAAACCCAAAACCAACUUAAAAGCCCAAUACGAACCUUUCGUAAAAUUAAUCAACUAAUUAAUUAAUCUUGACCAUUUUCAAUUAAACCAUUUAAUUGCAUAUCCAUUUCAUUUAUAUUUCUUCACUUUCAUCCUUACUCGGUGUACGAUCCAUUAGGUUCCAAUUAGCGAGGCAGUGGGCGAUUGUUACUCUUGACGAUCGAUUAUGAAUUGAAACUACAUUUCAAUUCUCCCUUUGAUUAAGAUUAGUGUUUGCUAAUCUUCAGGGCUUCCACAAACCAUGAGUGACACCUAGCAGCAUGUCAUGGUUACCCAAGCUAAGUAGAAGUGGUUGGAGAACCUAUCCAGUUACAAUUACAAUGCAA